AUUGAACGCUGGCGGCAGGCCUAACACAUGCAAGUCGAGCGGCAGCGGGACCUUCGGGUUGCCGGCGAGCGGCGGACGGGUGAGUAAUGCCUAGGAAUCUGCCUGUUAGUGGGGGAUAACGCGGGGAAACUCGCGCUAAUACCGCAUACGUCCUACGGGAGAAAGCGGGGGCUCUUCGGACCUCGCGCUAACAGAUGAGCCUAGGCCGGAUUAGCUAGUUGGUGGGGUAAUGGCCCACCAAGGCGACGAUCCGUAACUGGUCUGAGAGGAUGAUCAGUCACACUGGAACUGAGACACGGUCCAGACUCCUACGGGAGGCAGCAGUGGGGAAUAUUGGACAAUGGGCGAAAGCCUGAUCCAGCCAUGCCGCGUGUGUGAAGAAGGUCUUCGGAUUGUAAAGCACUUUAAGUCGGGAGGAAGGGCUGUAGGCUAAUACCUUGCAGUUUUGACGUUACCGACAGAAUAAGCACCGGCUAACUUCGUGCCAGCCGCCGCAGUAA
rnacentral:rRNA from 1 species